rnacentral:rRNA from 1 species
UACGGAGGGUGCGAGCGUUGUCCGGAAUCACUGGGCGUAAAGGGCGCGUAGGCGGCUCGUUAAGUGGCUGGUGAAAUCCCGGGGCUCAACUCCGGGGCUGCCGGUCAUACUGGCGAGCUGGAGCACGGUAGAGGCGGAUGGAAUUCCGAGUGUAGAGGUGAAAUUCGUAGAUAUUCGGAAGAACACCAGUGGCGAAGGCGACUCACUGGACAUGUAUUGACGCUGAGGUGCGAAAGCGUGGGGAGCAAACAGG